rnacentral:rRNA from 1 species
UGAACGCUAGCGGGAGGCCUAACACAUGCACACCGCGCGGUAGAGUUUCUUCGGAAACUUGAGAGCGGCGCACGGGUGCGUAACACGUGUGCAACCUACCUUUAUCUGGGGGAUAGCCUUUCGAAAGGAAGAUUAAUACCCCAUAAUAUAAUGAUUGGCAUCAAUUAUUAUUGAAAACUCCGGUGGAUAGAGAUGGGCACGCGCAAGAUUAGAUAGUUGGUGAGGUAACGGCUCACCAAGUCAAUGAUCUUUAGGGGUCCUGAGAGGGAGAUCCCCCACACUGGGACUGAGACACGGACCAGACUCCUACGGGAGGCAGCAGUGAGGAAUAUUGGACAAUGGGUGAGAGCCUGAUCCAGCCAUCCCGCGUGAAGGAUGACGGUCCUAUGGAUUGUAAACUUCUUUUGUACAGGGAUAAACCUACCCUCGUGAGGGUAGCUGAAGGUACUGUACGAAUAAGCACCGGCUAACUCCGUG